GUGUCUAAUCAUUUCCUUUAUAGGAGUUGUACAUUUUUCCGUUUUAUGUCUAUUGUUACUUCGCGAUCCAAAAAUAUUGCAUACAUCCCUUGUUGACCCGGACAACUUAGGGAAAUCUAGUAUAAUUGCUCUAGUCGUAUAUACUGCAAUACUAAUUUCUUGUAUUUUUUACAUACGAAUGUAUCAACAAAACAACAAGAGUUCCCCACCUCAAAUUAAGCAAUCCAAUGAAACACAUGUUGCCUUGCAUUCAAAACCUUCCAUUGAGCCUCAGUCUUGACCACCUUUUUCACUGUAAUUAGCAAAAAAAUUUUUUUUGUUUCUGAACAAAUGUCACUAAUUUCAUUCAUAAUUUCGUUACCAUUAUUAAUAUGUUAAAUGAUUGUAUAUAAGGCUGACUUUUGUAACUCUCGUUACACUAGUUAAAUAAAUACAAAGAAGUCCUUAUUUUUGAAGCUUUUUUCUUGAAUGUUGUGAAAUAAUUGAUUUUCCUAUUAACCAAUAAAAGACUCUAUAUAAAACACAUCCUUCUUACCAGUAUUGUUUUUUUGUUGAAACGCAUUUAAUAAAAAAAGUGUACUACCUGGCAUACGCGUGCACAGAUUUAAUGUCUUGCUUCCUUUUAUGUCCAAAAAUUAAAAAACGUUUUCUUAAAGUCUUAGAAAUACUUGAAGUUAAAAUACUUUUGACAAUUGAAGGUUUAACGUGGAGAUUCCCGUGAAUUGUAAACUUACGUUUAUAAAAAUCUUUUGAUUUAUAUGAGAAAAGGAUAGACAGACGACAACGAACAGUCAUGAAUGUGCUAAAGUUUUAUACUUUUAUAGAAAUCUAGACAGUGGUCGGACUUGGAAACAUUAAGUAACCAUUGUUUUUUUUGCUUUCACUGUUUUACGGCGGGCUUUUUUUUUAUUUUGACAAAUUGUCAAUAAAAGUCGUGCAAACACCUCGAUUCUCGUAUAAAAGCCUUCUUGGUGACUUGUUGAAAGAAGUAUUUCCUCCUUGAAAUUAAAAAAAAAAAAAAUAUCUCACAUCAUAGCAGUGUCGGAGCAAUGAGCUUAAUUUUCAGUUUUCUUUUUUUUCUGUCAAAAUUUUUAACCCCUUAUGAAAACAAUAAUGGUAAUGCUGUAAGAAAUGACUAGUAGAAAAACGACCUAUUUGCAAUUUUUUGAAAAAAAGUGGUAGGAUGACUUUUUCUUCUAAUAACAGGUAAGUUCGGAACCAGUGCACUGUUAACUUUUAGGUAACAAGAUACAUAAAAGAGUGAUCUGGUGUCAUAAGGAUUUCGUGAUUCAGAAAACAUUCACUGGUUCAUUUGUGUAACGCAGAGCGAAGGAAAAUAGCUUGAAAGUACGAUCAAAAGAUACCGAACCAAUAAACGCACCAUCUAAAAAAAGAAGAAAUAUUAUUUAUUAAGAGAAACACGUUCAAAACCGUACUAUCUGAAAUGUCAGCCCCUGUUAUACGGGCUUCAUGACCUAGAAGAAUACGACUACACGUAUAUUCUGUAGCAUUCCAAAUUUUAAGAGUACAGUCAAAACUGGUGCUAAGGAGGAAUCGACCAUGACAAGGCUUUUUUAUGUUGCCCCGUAAAAAAACAAAUGCCUUAAGAAUGAAACAACAUUAGUCUCUUACCUCAUAAACAACAUGAGAAAUUAACUUAUCAUGAGCUAAAAUCAUAUCUACACAUCUGCGAGUCAAAAAAAAUGAUCAAGGUGUCCUUAUAGUUUCACAAUUUCAGUACCUUUGCUUCCGUAUAUCCCAGAUUCGAAUAGUAUUAUCAUCCGAGCAUGUUGCCACUUGAUUUGGGCCUAUCAAGAAUACAAAAAAAAAACUGAGUUAAUUGAACUUACUAAAAAUUAAGCCUACGCCAAGGAUUUAUAGAGAUUCCCAAAACUUGCUUUAUAUGCCCCUAAUGCCGAAUGUAGAGAGAAAAAAAAAAUAUAGGUCAUACUUAUUUCAAAUGACUACACUUGAAUUACCAGAAGGGGGAACACAGAUCUGCCUGUACGUAAAUCCCAUCCUCGAAUAAUUCCCCCAAGAUCUCCCGAUAAAAUGAGAGACCCAUCUGGAUGAAAUUUUAAACUGUAAACGCCUCUAAAAAAUGAAGUGUUCAUGAACUAAAAAAUGAAACAAGGGCAGCAUACGUUGAGUGGCCUUCUUGCACUAAGAGUUCUUGUGAUCUUUCAACAUCCCAAAGUCGCCAUGUCUCAUCAUGUGACGAAGAAGCUAAAAAUCUUCCAGAAGGAUGGAAUUCCACAUGAUUUACACGAUCAUCGUGACCUGAACGAUUUGUAAAAUAGCAUGGGUUCCAAUAAAAUGAAAAAGAAAAAACCUUCAAGUAUACUGAGCGAUUUCAUGGAUUUCAAUGACCAUAAAAUGAUUUUGGUAUCUGCGCCACCAGACGCUAAAUGGACUCCUUCUGAAAAAUCAAUAGGAUGUGUGUCUUCAGAAACUAAAUUUUGGUUUCGA